ensembl:misc_RNA
UGAAAGGAGUCAGACACUGAAGUUUUCUGUAGAUCCACAGAAAAUGUCCAUCAGAGGCAGCAUUAAUGCAAGUUUCUCUAUAAUGUCCUAUGAAUAGGAUUAAACCCUUACCUGGAGGGACCAUCUCCAGGGAUGAGAGGGCAGUUCAGUGACUAUCACCUUUUAGUCCUUGUCUCUC